rnacentral:rRNA from 1 species
UACGGAGGAUGCAAGCGUUAUCCGGAAUGAUUGGGCGUAAAGCGUCCGCAGGUGGCUAUGUAAGUCUGCUGUUAAAGAGUGAGGCUCAACCUCAUAAGAGCAGUGGAGACUACAUGGCUAGAGUGCGUUCGGGGCAGAGGGAAUUCCUGGUGUAGCGGUGAAAUGCGUAGAGAUCAGGAAGAACACCGGUGGCGAAAGCGCUCUGCUAGGCCGCAACUGACACUCAUGGACGAAAGCUAGGGGAGCGAAUGGG